rnacentral:rRNA from 1 species
GACGAACGCUGGUGGCGUGCCUAAUACAUGCAAGUCGAGCGGACCAAUAGAAGCUUGCUUCUGUUGGUUAGCGGCGGACGGGUGAGUAACACGUGGGCAACCUGCCUGUAAGACUGGGAUAACUUCGGGAAACCGGAGCUAAUACCGGAUAAUUCAUCCCCUCGCAUGAGGGGAUGCUGAAAGUCGGUUUACGCUGACACUUACAGAUGGGCCCGCGGCGCAUUAGCUAGUUGGUGAGGUAAUGGCUCACCAAGGCGACGAUGCGUAGCCGACCUGAGAGGGUGAUCGGCCACACUGGGACUGAGACGCGGCCCAGACUCCUACGGGAGGCAGCAGUAGGGAAUCUUCCAGAAUGGACGAAAGGCUGAUGGAGCAACGCCGCGUGAGCGAUGAAGGCCUUCGGGUCGUAAAGCUCUGUUGUUAGGGAAGAACAAGUAUCGGAGUAACUGCCGUUACCUUGACGGUACCUAACCAGCAAGCCACGGCUAACUACGUGCCAGCCGCCGCCGUAA